AAUAAAAACAUACCACAUCAAACUUUUACUUAAAAUAAUUGUAAAAUCAAUAAAUCCUAAAACCCCUAAUAACAUCUCUAGAAGCAAAUAAACAAAACCUGUUUCUAAAAUCUCAAUAGUCAAUACCUCUUCGGCUCCUGCGUCUCCUGCCAAUCCUCGUCGGAAUAACGUUUGCCACCGCACUACCUCACCAGACCUCCGUCCGCUGCCGCACUACCUCGUCGGACCUAGGUAAUUUUAUGAAAAACACACAGAGUCUAAAGAUUCAUGUCAAGACAUUACACCCUUUGUUACAACUCACCGGCCAAUCUAAUGAACAAGAAUCAAAGGAGACAAGACCAAACAAGGGAGAGACUACAAGUAGAGACAAGCUUGAUCACUAUUUAGAUUAAGACAAAACAGUUGUGGCUGAGCAGGGUGUUCAAAUGAACCUUGCCCUUGUUGUUUGUUCAUGGAAUGAAUUUGAACUUCCAAGAAGAAGAAUGCAAUUAAGGACAGCCCCCUGAAUGAGAAUCUUGAUACUAUUAAAGGCGGAGUCAAUAGUGUUAAGGAUCUAUGUUUAUUACAAUCUUGUGUAGCCUCCUUGUUGUAUGUUCCAUUUUAGAUUGCUUCCUUGUAUUAGCAAUGAGAAAUUAUGUUGCUAAAAAAAUCAAUGAAAAAUUAUGUUCUGUUUGUUGCUAA